AUUCCAGCUCCAGUGGCGCAUAUUAAAGUUGUUGCAGUUAAAAAGCUCGUAGUUGGAUUUCUGGUUUCACAGAACUGGCCUACUUCCUCAAGGUCGUGUGCGCCGUGUUUUGUGUACCAUCCUUCUAGAAAUUGUGUUCCAUCCCUUCACUGGGAUAGAUCCGAGAUCUAGAUCUUUUACUUUGAAGAAAUUAGAGUGUUCAAAGCAGGCUCGCGCUGUGAAUACAUUAGCAUGGAAUAAUAAUUUAGGACUUGGUAUCCUAUUUUGUUGGUUUUCAGGAUCUAAGUAAUGAUUGAUAGGGAUAGUUGGGGGUGCUAGUAUUUUGCGGCCAGAGGUGAAAUUCUGUGAUUCGCGAAAGACUAACUUAUGCGAAAGCAUUCACCAAGGAUGUCUUCAUCA
rnacentral:rRNA from 1 species